CUUCUCUUCUCUCUUUUAGUCCUGUUAAAAUGUGUCAGCAUAUCCACCCAUGAUGAGCUCUGUUGUGCUAAACUGCAAUCAUGUGAAUGUGUUCUGCAGGAACUGAGGCCGCACCAAGGAGCAAGGGAGCCUCUUCCAGCGGCAACUAGGCGCGGCGGCCUUAACUUGUUACGCUAGGCGGAGCCCUGAUCAUCAAACUUAGCUUUUUUGUUGCUUUCUACUGGAACCCUGAUCAUCAAACUUAGCUUUUUUGUUGCUUUCUACUGGAACUCUAUGUUUCUAUGUCGAGAGGCGGACGAUAUGAUGCCUGGUUAUGUUAUUUGCACAAUUAUCGUGGACGUUAAUCCUUCAGUUUUGAAUGUUGAAUUGUGUCGAUGUCCUGUGUUAGAUGCUCUGCAUCUCUUGUUCAAUGCGCUAUUUGUGAUGAGGCUUUUUGUUAUUUCAAUCUGAGUGUGUUGAUCAAGUUGUGAUGCACUUGUGUUCAUUGUGUUUGUCUGUCCAGCGACAGCUUAGAUAUGCAGCUAUCAACAUGGGUUAACACUUGAAAAUUAUUUUUUUGAUAUACUUGUUUGUAUAGCAUCUCUGAAGAAUAUGACCCAUGGCUUGGAAAACAAAAAUAACAGACUCAACACUAAAAAUGUCAGUCGGCCAAACUUAUCGUCAGAUCAGGACCCUCUGUAGCUCUCUAUACUGCCUCGCUAGGGUUGUACAAGUGGUGGUUUCUGCUGCAUAGAUGCCAAUCAGGCUUCUGACUUUUUAGCUAACAUUAUUUUAGGUCUAGGGCGCAACCCCUUUUCAUUACUUAUCAUAACGGAAAUACAAAGUUCAGAUCACAACUGGGAAAUGACCUCCUACCACACAAAAAGGAAACAGGAAAGGGAGCGAGUUCAAAGCAUCACGUUGAAACCCACCAUCAUCGAGCAGCCCGUUGCGGGGCGAAAAUCCAAUAACACCCAACUCCUGACUAAAGCCACCAAUAGCAAAAGGAUCGACAGCAACAACAUCAAGUUUACGAAAAGGCUCACAACUGAGCAGGCGUACACUUGCACAGGAGUGAAAGUAAAGCGCAACUAAAAGGCCUCCGAUCGGGCCAGAAAGCAGGGCUCAGUCACCAUCGAAGGUAGCUUCAAUCCAUUGUUGCCUUGACUAGCAGCACAAAUCCUCAUCAUCGCAGAAGCAUUCGACUUGAGCAUCUUGGCACCACGCUUCAUAGCCUCCCGAGCAGCACCCGUCAUCAAGCCUGCCCAAUACGUCAAAAAGCCACAAGCAGAAUAUACCACAUUAAACGGAGUUUUGAGUUGCUUAUGUUCAAACGUAGCCUGGUUGCGACUAUUCCAAAUGGCCCAACAUAUAGCCGUCAGGCCAAAGGUAUAGAACCUAACUCCAUCAGGUAGGAACACAUAACACCAGGAGAAGUAUAUAUUGCCAUAUGUUAUUAGGACAUAAGUGUGUGCCCAGCACACAGCCAACCGUCCUCCAGACUACCCGAGCUACGGGACAAGUAAAGAACAAAUGUUGAGAUGAUUCAACGUCUCUACAAAAGGAGCAUCUGGGAUUUCCAGACCAACUUCUUUUUUUCAUGACCUCUCUAGUCAGAAUGGCAUCUUGAAACAACUGCCAGAGGAAAAUCUGAAUUUUCAGGGGUAUCUUGGCUUUCCAGAUCCACCUGAAGUCGCAUCCUGCCAGCUGCCGCUCCAGGUAAACAUAGACUGAUUUAGUAGUGAACUUAUUUUUGUUCCCAAGUGCCCAACACACCAUGUCAGGCUCCGUUGACACCGGCCAUGACUUCACAACUUCUCUCAUUUCAAUCCAUUGAUUAACAAGAGGAGGGUGCAACCGUCUCCUAAGAAUUCAUCACCCACACCGUUUCUAAAUUCAGCCACCGUGAUCUCUUGGUAAUUACAAAUGCCAAACAAGGCCGGGAAACGAUCUUGCAAAGGAGGUUCGCCUAGAAUGUUGUCACUCCAUAAUCUAGUGAUGUUACCAGAUUUCAUGAUCACCUCUCUCCCUGCCAAAUAUAUCUCUUUAACUUUCAUAAUGGACUUCCAGCUUGGGGAAUCCCCAAAUUUACAUUUCACCGAGGAGACCGUGUCAUUCUUCAAAUAUUUGGCUCGAACCACAUCUUGCCACAGACCAUGCUGUGUUUCCAGUUUCCACCACCAUUUGGUAAGGAGGCUGAUAUUCUGUCUGUGCAGGUCUUUAACUCCCAACCCCCCUUUAUUUUUGGAUCUACAUAUUCUAGACCAUUUCACCAAGUGGUAUCUCUUACGACCACUAGUUUCCUGCCAAAAAAACUUUUUCCUGUGCUUGUCCAACCUCUCAAUGACCUUUUUAGGGAGCAUGAACAUCGACAUGUAAUAGUAAAUGAUGCUAGUAAGGGAAGAGUUAAGGAGAGUCAGCCUCCCCCCCGAGGAAGCCGCAUUACCCAUCCAGGACUCACAACAUUUAAGGAACUUAUCAUCUACAAAACUCCAGUCAAGAGCUCGAAGGGUGGAGAAACUUACAGGCACUCCCAAAUAUUUCAUACACUACUGGAAUCAGCUACUUUGCCAUCUGCCAGCACUUUGCCAUCAGCUAGCAGACGACAAAGAAGCUCUUUGCCAUCAGCUAGCCGAAAGCAGACGGCAAAGAACUGGCUGAUGGCAAAGAAAGCCUUUGCCAUCAGCCUGUUCUUUGCUGUUCGCUAGCUGACGGCAAAGAAUCUUUGCCGUCCGCUAGCAGAAGGGAAAGAAUCCUUGCCGUGCGCUAGCAGACGGCAAAGAGGGAGGGGGGGGGGCACUGAGGAGCUGGUUAAAAAUACUUAACGUCCCCCCGCUUUGCCGUCCGCCGCAGACGGCAAAUAUGAACAAAAGCGGACGGCAAAGGAGGGCGGACGGCAAAGGCUACCCUAACUAACCUAACUAACGGCCGAGCCCCCUCCCCCGCCCGUUACUCAUCUCUCUCCCUUGACCUCCUCCGCCCCCACCCCCGCCGCUGCCCCUGCCCCCGNNNNNNNNNNNNNNNNNNNNNNNNNNNNNNNNNNNNNNNNNNNNNNNNNNNNNNNNNNNNNNNNNNNNNNNNNNNNNNNNNNNNNNNNNNNNNNNNNNNNNNNNNNNNNNNNNNNNNNNNNNNNNNNNNNNNNNNNNNNNNNNNNNNNNNNNNNNNNNNNNNNNNNNNNNNNNNNNNNNNNNNNNNNNNNNNNNNNNNNNNNNNNNNNNNNNNNNNNNNNNNNNNNNNNNNNNNNNNNNNNNNNNNNNNGACCCCGACACCCCGACCCCGACACCACGCCCCGACACGCAGACCACGACACCACACCCCGACCCCGACACGACACCCUAACCCCGAAAUAGCACCCCGACACCGACAUGACACCCCGACCCCCUAAACCUCCCGAAAAGGUGCUCUUUAGCCUUCCAGAGGCCGACGGGGUUAUAUAUUUGUGAAUUAUUAGUUAGGUCAUAUAUUUUUUGAUUUUGUUAUGAAAAACAUCAUAUAUAAUUGUGUUGAUCGGGUAGAUUUAAAUGUGCAGUUGUUUCAUCGCUGCGAGGUUUGGUGUUCGACGACCUCGCCGUGCGUUUGACGAGCUCUGCCCCUUCGUUCGUGGGUGAGCACAAAUGACAUGUCCUUCUCCCCCAUUAAUUAUUUGCACAAAUGACAUGAAAUUUGGUAGCUAGCUAUAUAUGUGCCUUGAAUCAUCAGUAUGCGUAACCAAUAUGUGUCUCCCAUUUGAAAGCGUCAUAGUUAUAAAUAUGCAUGCAUUUGCAUAUUUAUAACCUUGAUUCUUUCGAAUUGUCCAACGCUAUCCAUGGACAGCCCGAGUAUGUGUAGAUUGGGUUUGUUUUCCCAUAUGCUUUGCUCCGGAUCCGACGCAUAAAUUUCGUCAGUGCCUCCCCUGUUGUUCUCCGAGUAUACAUCCUCUCUGUUUAUUGCAGAGCCGUGUAUCAGGAGAACAACGGGGAGGUGCUGCCAAAAUUUUGCGUCGGAUCCGGAGCAUAGCUUGGGAAAAUGAACCCAAUCUACACAUACUCGGGUGGGAUUAGGACCUAUCAUUACCUAUUAGAGUGUAGGUUGCACGGACGUAAUAAAAUUUACAAAGUAGAUCGACUGAUGAAUAUAUACAUGGUGAAUUAUAUAUAUAAUUGUUGUGUGUCCAGUAGCUCUGAAAGUCAAGAUGAGUGAUCGUGCGUUGUUGUAUACCGGUCACACUAGUCAGAACAAAUGGAGCGCUGAAUGGUUCACAAAAACCAAGGAGUUUGUGCAAGCCGCAUUUGCAAAUGGCCAUAGGAAAACUUGGUGCCCCUGUUUCUGAUGCGACAAUUGGGAAAAGAGGACAGAGGCUGAAAUGGGUAAACACCUGCAGAAGAAUGGUUUUACGCCCGAUUAUACGGUGUGGACAUUUCAUGGUGAGUCUGCCCAACGUGACCGAGCUGAGCUGGAUCAUCGUCGCACCGACGAGCAUGGUAUCGGGAUGGAAAACAUGGUGCAAGACUAUGAUGAUGCUUGGGAUUCAGACGAGGAGAUGAAGGAAUCUGCAAAGGCCUUCAAUGAAAUGUUGGAGUCUUCAAAACGUCCGCUCCAUGAGCACACUGAGCUUUGUCAGUUGGAUGCCAUCUCACAAGUAAUGGCUUUGAAGGCUCAGUUCAACUUGGGCAGAGAAUGCUAUGACGCAAUUAUGACAGUAUUUGGACGCUUUCUACCCAAAGGCCAUGUAAUGCCCGCAAACCUGUACCAGUCGGACAAAAUCCUUCGUGCACUGAAGAUGCCCUAUGAGAAGAUAUAUGCCUGUGAGAAAGGAUGUGCCUUAUUUAGGCUUGACUAUGCGGACUUGAACUAUUGUCCCAUUUGCAAGUGUUCCAGGUAUACUGUGGUAGACAACGGUAUGGGUGAGAAGACACAAACCAAAAUCCCUGUUAGUGUUCUUCGGUAUAUGCCAAUCGUACCAAGACUUCAACGUCUUUUCAUGGUCGAAGAGACGGCCAGACAGAUGACAUGGCACAAAACAGGCAAAAGAACCGAACUAGAUGCAGAUGGUAAUCUGAUGAUGGUACACACAUCGGAUGGUGUUGCGUGGAAAAAGUUUGAUGAAUUACAUGCUGACAAAGCGGCAGAUCCGAGGCAUCCUCGAGUCGGCAUCAACACCGAUGGGUUCAGUGUGUUUGGUAUGACGGCAGCCCAAUACAGUUGUUGGCCCGUAUUUGUCUUUCCACUCAAUCUCCCCCCCGGACAGAUUAUGCAAAGAAAGAACAUUUUCCUGACGUUGAUAAUUCCAGGGCCCAACUAUCCGGGGAAAAAUAUGAAUGUGUACAUGCAGCCGCUUAAGGACGAAUUGCAAGAAGCCUGGGAUAAUGGGUUCAACACAUACGACGCCUAUAGCAAACGAAACUUCAUAAUGCGUGUCUGGUACAUGUACUCGACGCAUGACUUGCCGGCGUAUGCGCUAUUCAUUGGCUGGUGUGUGCAUGGAAGGUUCCCGUGCCCCACAUGCAAGGGAGCUCUUGAGUUUCGUUGGCUUCAAGCCGGUCACAAGUUUUCUUGCUUCGACAUGCAUAGACAGUUCCUGGAUACUCGCCAUAAGUUCAGGAAAGACAAGAAGAACUUCAUCAGAGGUAGAGUUGUAAAAAACUCUGCACCACCUGCGUUGACAGGCUAACAGACCCUGGAUCAGUUAAACGCUCUCAAGCCAGAUCCAGAGCGUCCAGGGUACUUUAAGGGGUAUAAUUCUGAGCACGCCUGGACUCACAAAACAUGCUUAUGGGAUCUGCCUUACUUCAAAGACCUUCUUUGCCCACACAACAUCGACGUGAUGCACACUGAUAAGAAUAUCGCCGAGGCACUUUUUGGUACAUUGUUCGGCAUAGAUGGGAAGUCAAAGGAUAAUACUAAGGCUAGAGUCGAUCUGGAGGCGCUAUGUGAUAGGCCGUUACAAAACAUGAAAGAACCGAAAGGAAAGCAGAACUGGACGAAGCCAAAGGCAUGGUUCAAUCUUGGAAGGCCAGCUAUGAGGGAAAUUAUCUUGUGGGUGAAAAUGCAGUUGAUGUUCCCCGAUGGGUAUGCAGUGAAUCUAAAGAGGGGAGCGAGUCUUGAUAAAUUGAAGAUAUUUGGUCUCAAGAGUCAUGAUUGGCACAUAUGGAUUGAGCGGGUAAUGCCGGUGAUGUUGCGUGGCUUCAUCCCUGAGGAUGAAUGGCUAAGGCUGGCAGAACUCAGCUAUUUCUUCCGUGUUCUUUGUGCGAAAGAACUAUCGCCUGGCGUGCUAGAAGAAAUGGAAGAGUUGGCGCCAGAGUUGAUCUGCAAGUUAGAGAAGAUCUUUCCACCGGGCUUCUUUAAUCCAAUGCAGCAUUUGAUUUUGCAUCUCCCGACCGAGACAAGAUUGGGGGGGCCCGUGCAAAAUCGUUGGUGCUACCCAACUGAGAGGAUGCAGAAGACGCUUCAAGAAAAAUGUAAAAAUAAACGUAGAAUUGAAGGCAUUCAUCACUGAGGAGGCGACAAACUUCGUGACAGCACACUACGAAACCAAAAAUCGUCAUUUGCAUAAUCCGAAGCCUCGGUACAAUGCUGACGAGCCUAAAAAGGGUGGAUCCAACCUCAGCCUAUUCAAAGGCAAUCUCGCACCAGCCAGUGUUUCAAAUCCAGUAUCUUUGGAUAACGAAGAAUGGCGGACCAUUUCAUUGUAUAUCUUCAACAACCUGAUAGAAGUGCGGCCGUACAUCGAGUAAGUUCUCGGUACAUUGUUUCGCAACUUCUAUUUCCUUUGAACUGCUCUGGAUAUUUCAUACAGUUGAUACGUCGCCCUAUUCUCGUAUGGAGCGGUGAUCCAAAAGGAUUCCGUCAAAGAGUAUGAGCUUCUCGCAAAGCAAGGAGGCGGCUAUCCCGGUUUCAUCUCUUGGUUCAAACAAACGGUAAAUUCUAUUAGACAAUUUCAUUUCAUUCGCUAAUUUGUGCGUAAUGCAACAAUCCUUUCAUAUUAAACUUGUAGGCUAAUUCAGAGUCUAUGGACGCCGAAUUGAGACAAGUCGCUAAUGGUUUUGACUAUAAGGUCCGUUCAUUUGACAAAUACGACAUCAACAGGUAUCGUUUUCGUACCUAUGGCAAAGAGCUAUCUAUGGCCGACCAAAAGUCUACAAAUUGUUGUGUAUCUGCUAUCGGCGAAGGAGGUACCGAGUAUUAUGGGAGAGUUGAAGCAAUUUAUGAACUUCUAUUCUAUGGUGAAAACCCACCGAAUGUGGUAGUCUUCAAAUGUUAUUGGUUUUAGCCGAAGGAGACUAGAAGGACUCAUGAACAUAUAGGGCUAGUUGAAAUCAACCAAAGCACCCAUUUAGAUGUUCCUGAUGUCUAUAUUAUGGCUCAACAGGCGACCCAAGUAUUCUAUCUACCCUGGGCCUGCCAAACUAAUCCAAAUCUGAAAGGUUGGGAUGUCGUUUAUGAAGUGCCGCCACGUGCUAGACU
rnacentral:lncRNA from 1 species